UGCAAAUUAUGAGAAUAUUUACUUCUUGUAAUCUUGUGAUAAGACUAAAAUAGCAAAUGAAAAAUAAUUCUGAUUGUACUCCAUGUACACCUUAUCUUCUUCAAGUCACUCGCCUUGUCUCGAAAUUACACGAACAUUUGCGUUUAGCUGGGAGUGGAUACCAAUUACGCUUAUGUUACCCGUUCUUUAUUAAUGAUCCAGAACGACAAGCUCCUUUCACCGUAAAAGGUAAGUAACACAUAUGUAGCUGCAAUUAUUCGAUAAGAAGAAAAAGAAAACUAUCAGCCGAAAAGAAAACAGUUCUUCUUUCAAGCGUUCGGUUUUAACACGUUUAAUAUUGACAUCGACGAUUUUAAAUAACGAUCGUGCACAGUUACAUUCAUCUUGAAAGACAAUUGACACUAAAAGCUCUAUCGCCGAGCUCAUCGUUUUGUUUUAGCGAUUAAAGAAACGUUCGUAUAAUCAGUUAACUAUUAUCUUUCUCGAUUUCCGUCACGUCAAUCGUCGAUGGAAAUUGUUCGAGUAGAUUAAACAUGAAACAUACUAUUCUUUCCUAGUGCGCCAAUUAUAACACUACGAUUCUCUGGGUACAAUUGUGUAAUUUUCUAGGCACGUAUGCACAUCUAGAGGUGCGCGAUUCCUGAAAAUACGCUUCUUUUCUAACAGCAGCGUUAUCUUCAAAGAUAAUUAAAUUUAUUAACUGGCAACAACCGAUACGAUAUAAGAUAAAGUGCAGCGUUAUUGUACAUUCUACGUGUAGCUCACCACGUUCUUUAGAUAAGGAACGUAGCCUACCAAAAGUAAUAAAUAUUAUCGUAGAGAAUCAUUACUUACAGGUUAUCAAUAUUAUUUUAUGGCAUUCUACAGAGGCUGACGCUGAAACGCAUUGAGUUCUAAAUUCUAUGAUGUAAGUUGUAAUAGCGUAGCGCGGCGUAUCGAAAUUGCAAGCGAGUGGCACCGAUUGAAGUCAAUGUGAAUCAAAUGUAUCUCAGUGGGACACCAUGAAUGGAAUUUUACUUGGCAUUACCUCAUUCGAUUAAACAGGAAACCGCAAAUGCUUUCUUCAAACGCGUAUUGAAAGAUACAAAUUUAAUAUAUGUGUAACUAGAUUUCUGAAGACUUUCCUUGCAUACAGAAAUACUGAUAUUAAUUUUAUAAAAAUAAUUUUUAAAUGGCUGGUGACUACACAGAUAGAUUGCGAGUGAGCUGGAUACUAUUACGAAUUCAGUAAAAGCAAUAAGAAGCAGAGCAAUAUUCACUCCUUAUCUAAAUUCGCAGUGCUCUGCUCGCAAUACUAUACAGAGACUGCGUCACAAUCGGAUUUUUAGCGUUUGAACGACGUCCAAGAAUUAUUUCAAACGUAGUCUCAUCCGAACGACUUCGUUAUAACGUGUCAACAGGACGUUGUAGUCGAUAUAAUUACCUAAUGAAAAUACAAUUAACUAAUACAAUAAAUUGAUCGCGAACAGGAAAAACGUGAACGUAUUGAUUACUUCCAGGCGAAGCAUUACGUGAUUUACUAGGGGGAAAACCGUUUGCUCGACGUUUGUUUCGCAGAACUGAAGAGCCAAACAUAUGCGUUCGUUACACUUUGAAUUUACAAAAUACAGCGUGAGUCAUUCAUUAGAACCGUGCAAUUGCUACGAGGUGAAUAAUACCUUACAAUUUCGUGAACCAGCAGGCUUAUUAUCUUAAAACUGCAAGACGUAGAAAACUUAAUUCGUUGAAGAUGUCUGCACAAAACAGAAGCUGCCAUAAAUAUAAACGAUUUUAAUUUUCUUCGCGGAAACAUUUUAGGAUUCCUCGUACGCCGACCGCGGAAAAUUGUAUUAUUACCUUUGUUAAGUUUACGUAAAGCGUAAACACAUGUGCGUACACAUGUGCGUACAAUAACUAACAAUAAUAAUGACGUGAAUCUUUAAACUUAAAUUAAAAAGUAUAUUCUGUACUAUUCAGAAUUAAAACUUAAAGAAGUUUUUAUCAUUUCCACGCCAAUCUGUAAAACCUAAUCUUUCAGAGAAAGUAUUUAAUAUUCUACAUAAAUCAACCAAACGAAAGUGCGCGUUUAUUUCAUUAUCAGUCUCACUGAAAUUGUUCUGUCGUAAUUUACCGCGUCUGUUGCGCCAUGAAAAUGAGGAGUUUCAAGUUGUUUAAUUGUAAUUGAUCGGUCGACUAAAAUUAUUCAUAUUUAUCAACACUUUCGAUAGUUUCAAGCAUAUUUUCCUAAUUCUCGUGAAAGUUUCCUUGUUGUAAAAAACAAAUAGUAAAAAAUCGAGGCAUUUUAAUUAUGAUCAUUAUAAUUGCAAAUCACAUGGAAGACGCAUUAAGACGAUCGGAAAGUCAACAAGCGAACCGGUAAAUACCCUUGAGGAGGAGCCGCGGUGAAGAAUUAAAUGGUCCCAAGUCACGAUUGGCAUACUCUCAACCGUUCUAACUAUAUAUGCAAAUAUACAUACAUGUACAUACAUAUGUACCUCGCCGAUUCUUUCACCUUCACGAAGGUUAAAAGAACGAGAUGCAGCUAGCCAUUUGUAAAGAUUUAAUCUGAAGUGAACAGCCUCGUCACAACCGCCGAAUAUAACAGUUUUAAUUUUAAUUGAAAAAGAGAAGAGUUUAUAAAUUAUAAUUGUCUCUACUUUAAUUAUUAAUUUCAAGCGUUGAAGGUUAAACCAUUUAUUAAUGUAAAGUUAUUCGCUUUUUUCUGGUCCAUAGAAUUUAUUAGGUAUUCGAUACUACGACAAUGUGCAUUUAUGUGAAGAUCGCAUUCUUAGAUUAUCAUUAUACGAAGAAGUUAAUUAAUCUGAUAUAAACUACUUCUGCAAGUCCAAUCAUUUAGAAAGAGAAAGAAGGGGAAAUUUUUGAUAAAAGAGAAACGCGAAGAACAAGUCUUUUUAAUAGAACGGCGUCGCGUGAACACGAUGCUAAUUGGACAUUCCAAUUCGACGAUGGAUUCGGAACGUAAGACAACAAAAGAAUUCAAAGUACACCGAAUAUUUUCUAGCAAGCUAUAAAUGGAAGCGGCGACAGAAUUGCGUGAUACAUUCUGGCAUAAGAAUGUGUGUUUGGGUAAAAUUUGUUUAGUCUGGAAGCGGAGAAUCGACUACGAUACACCAGACUGUGGAGCCAUAUAUUUUUAAAUAUGUACGAAGAAGAAUUUUACAUUUCGCGGUUCACCACACUGACCAUUAAUAUUUCUACUUCUCUCAACACCGUCUCCUUGCAUUGAACUCUAACGCAAUUUCAAGUGUGUUUACUACAGUGAAGAUAAGCAAUCAAGAAGAUGACUUAUUACAGGAUGUCCGGUAGUAUAACUAAUAAAACGAAGAAAGUAGACAUAAAAUUGUAAAUAUGAACUUGCUUCGAAUACUUAGUGUUUCCAGUUGCACAUAUGUAAUUCUGUAAUAAACUUUACAAAUCCCAUCAGCCACUACUAUUCGUAAAGUCCAUCGACUUCAAAAUUACAAUAAAUGGUAAUAUCAUGUAUGGAGAACAAAUUAAUCACGCACGAUGUAUGUUUUAUAUACUGAAUCAAUGAGAACAGAGAACAAUACUUACACAAUUGUUACAUUUUAUUGAUUUCUCUUAUUUUCUAAUACUUAACAACAAAAAACAAUGCUCUUAUUUUUCAGUUCAUCCUAAUGAAUCAAUUUUUUGCGAUUAUGUAUCACCUAUUUGUUGGCUGUACAUAUUAUCAAUAAGAUUUAUCACACAUUUCAUGUACGAUACUCUGUACGAAGUUUCUAUCAUAAAAUACGAAAGGCAGAGCUCGUGAAAGACAAGGAGAAAAAGAAUAACGAGGAGCGAGCCAGCCGUACGGCGUA